AUUGAACGCUGGCGGCAGGCCUAACACAUGCAAGUCGAACGAGUGGCGGACGGGUGAGUAAUGUCUGGAAAACUGCCCGAUGGAGGGGGAUCACUACUGAAAACGGUCGCUAAUACCGCAUACCAUCGGAUGUGCCCCUAUGGGAUUCGCUAGUGGGUGGGGUAACGGCUCACCUAGGCGACGCUCCCUAGCUGGUCUGAGAGUAUGACCAGCCACACUGGAACUGAGACACGGUCCAGACUCCUACGGGAGGCAGCAGUGGGGAAUAUUGCACAAUGGGCGCAAGCCUGAUGCAGCCAUGCCGCGUGUAUGAAGAAGGCCCUAGGGUUGUAAAGUACUUUCAGUGAGGAGGCGUUACCCGCAGAAGAAGCACCGGCUAACUCCGUGCCAGCAGCCGCGGUAAUAC
rnacentral:rRNA from 1 species